rnacentral:lncRNA from 1 species
AAGACUCUGAACUACGAUAUGGAAUGAUGGCUCUUAUAAUUUUUGGCGGCAUCUCUGUAUUUUUUGCCGGACUGAGUUUGUUUUCAAAAACAGUAUGGUGGCUGAGAACCUUUUGCUCCAUUAUUUGGGUUUCCAUAGGAUUGUUAUGCAUUACUGUUUCUUGUGUACUAGUUAUCAAAAACUGCAGUGAGCAAAUCAUCAUAACCGU